GAGACCAGAGACCAGAGACCAGAGGUGACCAGAGACCAGAGGAGACCAGAGGUUACCCAGCAGGUCUGAAGGAGUACACCAGAGACCCUGUGGCUUACUGACCUUUGCUGCUGAUGGCGGAGGAGUCUGAGAAGUGCCUCUUGAAUGUUGCAUGAUGGGAGUUUCCUGAGGGUCUGGAGGUCACCGUCUGCGGGCGGAAUGUCCCGGGAGCGUCUCUGAGGUGACGUGGUCCAACAUGGCUGCCGGGAUGGCUCUGAGAGAGAGCUGAUUGGUCGGCUGUGACCCCAGCGCCCUUCGUCUGGGCGUCCCCCCCCUGGCCGCUCGCAGCCCUCCCGCCGGCCACCGGGGCCGAGUUAGUGCGCCUGUACCCGCACGCCAGCGGCUGGCCCGCGCCCCGCGGGGGGGCGGGCCCGAUGGCCACUGGCGUGGUGGAGAGGCCCCGCCCACGGGCGGGCGUGCUGGGGUGACCCCGCCCGCAGGGAGGGGCCUGAGGGGCCGAGGAGGGCUGGCUGUUGGAGAACUUCUCUACGUCCUCACACACCUGGAGCAGCAGCUGGUCGUCUCCGCCCUCGUCCCACCAGCCGUCCGGGGCCCCGGGGCCCUGGACCGCCGCGCUCGACUGAGGCUUCACCGUGGUUACCGGCUUCACCGUGGUUACCGGCUUCACCGUGGUUACUGGUGUCACCAUUGUUAGCGCCAUCACCGUGGUAACGGGCUGCCUUUUGACAGGUUGAACUGCCUGCAGGUGCUCUGACCUGUGAUUGGUCAAGGCGGGGGGGGCCAAGCACUCUGACCCUUGAUUCGUCAAGGCGGGGGGCCAGGCGCUCUGACCCGUGAUUGGUCGAGGCGGGGGGGCAGGCGCUCUGACCUGUGAUUGAUUGAGGCGGGGGGUGCCAGACACCUUGGGUUGGGCUCCAGUCUGAAGGUGCUGCGCUGGGGGGUCCUGGGUCCGGGACAGCCGCCCCUGGGUCCGGGAGUCCUCCCCUGGGGUGGGCAGGAGGAGUCGACCCCCGGGGGAGCCCCUGAGGUCGUGGCAACCACCAGCGAGUCGUUCAUCAGGUCAUCGUCCUCCCAGUCGUCCUCAAAGUCAUCCUCAAAAUCCUGGACCACCGGCCCCGGGCCCCGGACCGCCACCCCCGGGGGCCGGUCUGAGGGCCUGAGGGGUCCCUGGCUCAGGGGCCCGCUGAGGGCCCCUUGGCUGAGGGCUCCCUGGCUGAGGGGCCCACUGACCCCCUUUCUGAGGGGCCCGCUGAACCCCUGACUGAGGGGCCCCUCGCUGAGGGUCCCCUGGCUCAGGGCCCCACUGACCUUCUGGGUGGAGCUGUCGAACAGCGCCCGGAGCUCCGCCUCCACCCGCUGCGACUCAGAGGGGGGGGGAAGCGGAGGGGGGGUUGCGGCCAGGUUGCUGGUGGAACGGGGGUCAUCAGCCAGGUCGCCGUGGGGACGAGGGGCGGCGGCCAGGUCGCCGUGGGGACGCCGGGCAGCGGCCAGGUAACCGUGGGGACGGGGGUCAUCAGCCAGGUCGCCGUGGGGACGUAGGGCAGCGGCCAGGUCGCCGUGGGGACGUGGGGCAGCGGCCAGAUCGCCGUGGGGACGUGGGGCAGCGGCCAGGUCGCCGUGGGGACGUGGGGCAGCGGUCAGGUCGUCGUGGAGACGAGGGGCGGCGGCCAGGUCGUCGGAGCGCUCCAUGUUCCGGUCGAAGGCUCGGGCCAGCUCCACCAGGCCGUCCACACUGCUCUGCCUGGGGAGAGAGACACAUCAGGACCCCCAUUAGAUACUAGUUAUAGCUCGAUUAGGAAUCAGACCUGCCCAGGAGGAGGGUGGGGUCCUGCCCCAGGAGGACUAGAGGUAGACUCUGACCUGACUGAGCGCCUGCGGGCGCGGUGCGUCCGGGGCUCGGGGGUGCAGGACACCCCGCAGUCGCCCAUCCACUGCAAGAGGGGCGACGGCGCCGGCCGGACGUCCUGCGGGCAUCGGACACACGGCCGUUAGACCAGCCACCAUGACACCUUCACUGCCCAGAGGCGGCCUGACGCUAGGCGGUGUAAUGCUAGGCGCGGUGUGACGCUAGGCGGUGUAAUGCUAGGCGCGGUGUGACGCUAGGCGGUGUAAUGCUAGGCGCGGUGUGACGCUAGGCGGUGUAAUGCUAGGCGUGGUGUGACGCUAGGCGGUGUGUGAUGCUAGGCGGUGUGUGAUGCUAGGCGGUGUGUGAUGCUAGGCAGUGUGUGAUGCUAGGCAGUGUGAUGCUAGGUGUCGUGAUAUUAGGUGGGGUGUGAUGCUAGGCGUGUGUACAUUAGGCAGCGUGAUGCUAGGCGUGUGUGACACUAGACGUGUGGUGCUAGGCAGCGUGACUCUAGACAGUGUUACGCUAGGCAGCGUGACACUAGGCAGUGUGUGAUGCUAGGCGGUGUGACGCUAGGCAGCGUGACUCUAGGCGGUGUGAAGCUAGGCGUGCUGUGAUGCUAGGCGGUGUUGAUGCUAGACGCGGAGUGAUGCUAGGCGGUGUGUGAUGCUAGGCGGUGUGUGAUGCUAGGCGGUGUGUGAUGCUAGGUGCGGUGUGAUGCUAGGCGCAGUGUGAUGCUAGGUGGUGUGUGAUGCUAGACGCGGUAUGAUGCUAGGCGGUGUGUGAUGCUAGGCGGUGUGUGAUGCUAGGCGGUGUGUGCUGCUAGGCGCAGUGUGAUGCUAGGUGCGGUAUGAUGCUAGGCGGUGUGUGAUGCUAGGCACGGUGUGAUGCUAGGCGUGGUGUGAUGCUAGGCGGUGUGUGAUGCUAGGCACAGUGAGUUGCUAGGCGCAGUGUGAUGCUAGGUGUGGUAUGAUGCUAGGCGGUGUGUGAUGCUAGAUGCGGUGUGUGAUGCCUGGCGCGGUGUGAUGCUAGGCGCGGUGUGAUGCUAGGCGUGGUGUGAUGCUAGGCGCAGUGUGAUGCUAGGUGCGGUAUGAUGCUAGGCGGUGUGUGAUGCUAGGCGGUGUGUGAUGCUAGGCGCGGUGUGUGAUGCUAGGCGCAGUGUGAUGCUAGGCGCAGUGUGAUGCUAGGCGGUGUGUGAUGCUAGGCGGUGUGUGAGGCGAACCCGGUGGACGGUAGCUGUACCGACCUUGGGGGGCGAUGCGGUUCACUAUGUCGGAUAUCUUCACCAUCCUGGUGGUCCUGGAACCCCCGCCUGGAAACACAUGAUAGCAGCUGAUCGUACAGGCUUCAUUACAGCACCAGCAUUCUGUCCCACCCCCCUGUGAGUGAGGGUACGUACUGGGGCCGGGCUGGGUGGGGGAGGUGGGGUCCCAGAUGAUGUCCUGGGUGACCUCGUCCCCCGGGAGAGUCCCCGCUAGUCAAGACCGAGUAGCGGUCGCAGGUCCAUCGUCUGGGGGUCUGCACGGCUGAGACAGAACACUCAGUCUCCUGGUACAGUACUAUUCUUCUGGUUUAGUGCUAGUCUCCUGGUACAAUAUUAAUCUUCUGAUUUAAUACUAGUCUCCUGGUUUAUUACUAGUGUUCUGGUUUAUCACUAGUCUCCUGGUACAAUGUAAGUCUUCUGGUAUAGUAUUAUACUUUUUGGAUUAUUACUAGUCUCCUGAUACAGUACUAGUAUUCUGGUUUAAU
ensembl:lncRNA